rnacentral:rRNA from 1 species
GACGAACGCUGGCGGCGUGCUUAACACAUGCAAGUCGAGCGAUGAAGCACCUUCGGGUGUGGAUUAGCGGCGAACGGGAGGAACACGUGAGGAAUCUGCCUUUCACUUCGGGAUAACUCCGGGAAACCGGGGCUAAUACCGGAUAUUUUCAACUGGCGGCAUCGCCGGUUGAAGAAAGUUUUUCGGUGAAAGAUGACCUCGCGGCCUAUCAGCUUGUUGGUGAGGUAAUGGCUCACCAAGGCGACGACGGGUAGCCGGCCUGAGAGGGCGACCGGCCACACUGGGACUGAGACACGGCCCAGGCUCCUACGGGAGGCAGCAGUGGGGAAUAUUGGGCAAUGGAGGAAACUCUGACCCAGCGACGCCGCGUGAGGGAUGAAGGCCUUCGGGUUGUAAACCUCUUUCAGCAGGGAAUAAGCGAGAGUGAAGGUACCUGCAGAAGAAGCACCGGCUAACUAUGUGCCAGCCGCCGCAGUAAAAC